CCGGUCCUGGGUACCGAGCACCGGCUCACGGCGCACCGGGCUCGGCCCGAGGCCUCUGCUUAGCUCUGCACGGGGCCUGCGGCGAGCGGGGCCGCCCGAGCUGUGUCUCGCUGUGGAGAGGCACCGGGGAAGGAGGGUGCACCCCCAGCCCCGCAGACCCCUCCAGACCCCGGCGGGCCCGGUGCUCCCUGCAUGCGGGUGGAGGAGAGCUGGGGGCUGCAGAACAGAGGCCACGGGUCGGGGGUCGGGUGUGAGACCUCUGGCCCUGCUGCACUGCGAAUCGUCCCUGCUGCUCCGAGUGGGGGAAUAGGGACGGAUUUGAGGUGCGGGUCUCCCCAACGGACCGCCCGCUGUGGAGGGGACACGCUGUGCCCCCGCACACGGCACAGACGAAGCGGUGGCUGCAGGGCCCGGGCCGCUCCUCCGGGACUGCCCCGAGGUGAGAGCGGCUGCGGCGGGGAUGCUGUGCCGGUGGCGCACAGCACAGGGCCGGGGCCCCCACAGGCUCUGACCGCGGCCUUCUCGGGGUUCCCACCGCCGGGAGAAACCCAGAGAGCAUAGACGGUCACCGAGGGCUGUCGCGACUCAAUGGAUCGCAUCUCUCUGCUAUCGCGAUUACCAAAAGCAAUCCCGUUCACCUCGCACCCCCCCGCAGCCGAAACGCAUACCCAUAGGGAUGUGCUACCCCAUGUCGCGACAACCCGCAGUGCUCUGAAGCAGCCUAUAUCGCACAGCCCCUCCGGAACCAGAGGCCGCUUACCCAAACCGGGCUCAGCGGGCUGCAGCCAUGGGCCAUCAGGCCUUUCCGGGGCAGGAGUUUCGUUUUUUAUGGUUUUUUAAAUACGGUUGUUUUUUUUUUUUUUCUUUUCCUAAAAGUGAAUUUCAACCUAAACUCACUCCCACCAUCACGUGGUGUCGAAAUUGGGAACAGGAGCGGAAUAAAAAGUAAACUGGGGUCAACCUCUUAAUGAACCUUUUCUCCUCUCGUACGGAAAAAUGGGGAAAAAAAAAAAAGAAAGAAAGAAAGAAAAGAAAAGAAAGAAGGAAAGAAACAGGAAAAAUAAAUAUAUAAAUAGAAAGAAAGACCGACCAGGGCCGGGCAGAGCGGGCCGUGCGGGCGGGGGAGCAGCGCGGAGCUGACGGCAGGUGAGAGCGGACCCCGACGUGAGCCCGGGGGGGUCGGGUGAGGGGUACCGAACCUCUGAGCCGGGCUCGUGGCUCUGCCCGAGGCUCUGCCCGGGGUCAGCGGCUGCGCGGUGAUACGAUUUCGGUGUCGGCUGUGUGCUGGUGCUCGGCUUUGUUUGGGUUUUGCCUCCCUCCACCCCUUCCUCCCGCAGCUGCAAUCACGGGCGUUUCCUCCUCUUUCCUACGUUCAGUGCAGUUUUUGUCUCUCAAGCAAAAACGGCUGGGGGGGGGGGGGGGCGAUCCCGAGUGGGGAGUAUUUGAUUAAAACAAAGCCGAAGUCCCCCCCUCCUCCCCUCCAGCCCCGGCACUCCCCGUUUGUAGAAGAGGGGCCGCUUCGGGCCUUUCUCGGGCCGGGACUGUCCGUGCCCGGAACGCCGUCCACCUGCGCACAGCGGUCAGCGCCCCGCGGCUCUCCGACCGCAACGUCGGGGCCGGGGCCGUCCGGGCUGGGAGAGGCCGCGGCCGCUCCCGCCACCUCAGCGUCCCCGUAUCCGCGGUGCUUCCAAGAGGCUCCGGCAAUCCACGGCGAGGCUCCAAUCCACCCCGACUGUCAUCACCCGGCAGAUAAACGGCCGGAUCCCCGACGGCAGGGUGGCUCCUAUUCGUGGCUCAUCAUCGCCGAGUCCAGGGAGCAGGCAAAGGGGGGAGGAUAAGCCCUGCUUCCAGAGACCGGCUCUCCACACCACUCAUCACUGUCACCGAGCUCAUGCCUUGGCCCCGAACACCGUCGAUUAAUAAAAGCUCACUGUCGCUUUUCUCUAAUAAUUACAGUCGCGGGUCGGGGGAAAGAAAAAUAAAAAAUGAAGAAGAAGAAAAACAAAACAAAGCAAAACAAAACCCGAAAAGGCUGCGGCUGCGCGCUACCUGCGGGGAUGCCCUGCCGCGCAGCCCUUGCCGGUGCGGCUCUCCUUUAUUGUUUCUUUUCACCCCAAAUGCGAUGAACCUCGCGGAGCUGCCAGCCCCGACGGCCGCCCCGACGGGGGGUGGGGAGCCGCGGCCGUGCGCUUUGGCACGGAGCUGUCGGCUGCAGCGGGAGCGCAGCGGUUCGCACCGCCGCUGCGGGUUUGAAUGGCUGAGGGCUGAGAAAAGGUGGCAGGAUUUGGCCAGAGAAAACGCGGCGAGUACGGAGAGCAACCGCUGAGUUCUGUUCUCGGGAGGAAUCGCAGAGCACCAAAGCCGGGCUUCUCGACAGGGCCAGCGCCAAAUCUCUAAUAACGGUGCUCUGAUGCCACGGGCCGGGCACUGCGCUCCGGGCCGAGAGAGGGGAACCCGAAAUCGGAACGCCCAGAACCGACGGCAGAAAGCGGGAACCGUCCGAUGGAGUCUCUGCGUGCGCCCGCGGCUCCGGCGCUUUGUUACGGCCCAUCGAGUAAAUGUUUUAACGAAUGCUUAAUGGCACUGCGAAGCGCUGCGGUCCUCCGUCCUGCACCGAUGGCUGCGGGCAGUGGGGCAGCGAGAGAAGCAGCCACGUGUGGUUUGCUUUAAGUCUUUGGGGGAUAUUUGAUAGUUACGUUGCGCCGAACUCUCUCACCCCCUCGGAAUCUCGGUUCGUUGUGCGACCGCUGAGAUUAAACGGCGAACGAACACUCGUCUGCCCGGAAUAUUGGUGAGGGUUGAAUUAUUUCACAAACGAAAAGAAACAAUCGCAGAACCCUUUUAGUUUUUAAACCGAGCCCGGAUUUUGCCACGAUGCUCCGGAUUUACGCUUUCAGAUUUUUACUCUUCGAAGUGGCGUUCAGAAAAAUAACGCUCCCAAUCCGUUGUGCGUUUUCUUUUUCGUGUACGAAAAUAAAAGUCAUUGGUGUGAGCGGGGGGAUGGUGUAGGAAGGAGUGGUGCGGGGUUCGGUGCAUGGAGAGCAUCGCAGGGAGGCUGCAGGGAGGCUGUCCUGCUGGUUCCCAGCCCGAGCUCUGAUUUCACUGCCAAAUGUACCCCCAAAACGGUCCUUUCUGCUUUGCAAUCGCUUUUUUCCUUUUAUUAUAAAAUAGAAAACAAACAAACAAACCACCAAACAAUCUGUCAAGAUACCCCGUGCUGGAGCGUGGGAGUGGGCCGACAGGGCACAGCGCGAAGCUGGCUUUAGGAACUGAAAGCAGCACAGAGCCCCGAGCCCGGCACUGGAGGAAUUUGAGGCAGCACGGCUUUGUUCCGGCUCUGUGCGUUGCAGCACGGGGCUGAGUGGGCCUGGAGCUUUGGGACAGCCAUGUGAAGGCAUCGCUCACUGAGCAGGAGGAGGAGAGGGGACCCUCAUCCCAAAGCCCUGCACCAGAGCAGGGAACUGCCCUGUGGUGCUGUAGGAGCACUGUGGGCAUCGUCAUGCUGGGAUGGAGGGCACAGAACGAGUCCUGCCCGUAGAGAUUGUUGUAUUUUUGCUAUGGAGGGUAAUUUUUUGCUAUAGGCAAUAUCUGUCCUGCAGGGUGAGCAGAGAACGGACAGUGUGAGCCAUGCCCAGCACUGUGCACACCCUGGCACUGAGCAAGGAUGCAUGGUGAGCCCCAGCACUGCUCUGCAGCACUGCCUGAGGCCCUGGGGGUCAGUUGGCUGCAUUCAAAUGCUGUGCUCACCACAGCAUGGGCCGGGUCCCAACGCUCACAGGCAGAGCAGGGCAGUCCCUGGGCAGCACCACCACGCUCCAGGAGCAAUGUUCCCACUGUUUGCCUUCACAUCCCACUGCUCUUUAGGCAAAAGCAUCCUCAGCCAUCCUCACACCCACCACCUCCACACAAGGCCCUGCUCCUGGCCAGAGCUCCUUUCAGCCUUUUGCACCACAGUGCUGCCCAUGGGGGAAUCUCCUCUUCCACCUCCUCCUCCUCUCUGGAGUGGGGCCAGAUGCUGCCAGCAGCCCUGGGUGUGGGAGGGACAUCCCAACCAUAGGGCUCAGACUGAGCCAAACUGGGAGUAUGGAGAGGGGUCAGUGCUGCCCCUGUUCCCCCCUACAUCACCCCAGGGCAGAUCUAAACUAGCUGGAGCUCAGGGGUUGGGAAGGGAGGAGGGGAGGGGAAAGCAGUGCCCAGAGAUGGAGCAAGAGGCACCAGAGAGGAGGAUGGAUGCAAUGGAGGAAGGCAAGGUGAGAGAAGGAGGACUGGGGGGGAAGGCAGCAGGAUGGAGGCUGUGGGGAAAGAUUUUGGGGGCAGCAUUGGGUUUCUGCCCCAUAGCAUUGGGAUGGGAUUUCCUCCUGGGCUUCUUGCACCGGGUUCAAUCCCAGUCCCCACGUGGCUGUGGCCCUGCACUGUGCCCCUCAGCUGCAGCAGCACCAGAUCAGUUCUCGUCUCCACAUUGGGCACUUUGCUCCUCACCCCUGGGAGAGGGCAAUGUCUUGGCAUGCUUCUGAUACACUGGAAGCAGGGAGAGCUGUAAAAGACAUCGUCCCAUUCCUGGGGGGAGGCUCAGUAAGGAAAGGAAAUGAGAACAAACCAGGGCCAGGCCUGGAAAUAGGGGGUUUGCUGCUGGUGGGAUGGGGUUUGCUAUGAGACCCCAAAGUUGCUGUUUGGAAUGGGGGGAGCAGGAGCUGGGGAUCUGCCCUGCCUGCUGUGCUGCUGGCUUCUGCAAGGAGGAAGGAUGGCUGGGAGUCAUUAAGCAGAGACUGAAGGCAUUGCUUACGGAGAUGUCUGGGAAAGGGCCAUUUCAGGCCCUGCUGUGUGCAGGGUCUGGGGUCAGGAGGGGCAAUGGCUCAAUGCCUCAAUGCUGCUCUGGGGCACAGGGAGCCCACAGCAAUUCCCUGUCUGUGGUGGGAGACCCAGCUGGCUCCUGCAAAACAGGGGACAAAGGAUCACCAAAAAUGCAGCCUUACCUCUGUAUCUGUAGCUCUGAGUACCGACGUGGCUGAGGCAGCCCGGCCAGAUGAGGAUGCUGUGUGCCUUCAUCAGUGGGUGUGCUCCGUGUUGUGCAGUGGGAACACCGAGAUGGAUGGGGAAGGGGCUUCUUAGACACACUGCGCCUGAAAUAAAUGGAUAGGGUGGAAUUUUUACAGCCCAUAGGGGUGGCAGGAGGUGCUGUUCACACCCACUGUGCCCCCAGCGCUCAGUGCAGUGGGAAAUCAGCAGCUGGGUGUCCCUUCCCCAUUCCCCUGCUUUGCCAUUCUGCACUGAAGCUUCAGCUGCAAGAAUCCUCACUGAGAGACAUCGGUGAGUGUUUCACACAUGAGCACCCUUCCCUAGCCACAGGGUUAUGGUAAAGGUUGGGAAAAGAAGGAAGUGCUGUGCUGGCAUGUUGGCAGUGAAUCAAAGAAAAUGACAUUAAUUAAAGCAUAUGUUAAGAAUAGGAAAUUAAGCUAAAGUAACAUUUCAUCCACAGCAUCUUCUCCGGGCACUUUAGAAAGGGGAUAAGUUUACGGUAGGGAAAGAGAAAUGAGGAGGCUGGUGCAGGGGAUGGAUGUGUGGGGAGUGAGAAGAAUUAGAGCAGAGCUUUAAAAGCCUUAAGCUAUACACUGAAGGUCACGUGUGCUCCCUGGGUUUGUUUGGAGCUGUGAGUGAAAGGGAGGGCUGUGGGUGCAGGCUGGCACAGACAGUACCCCCAGCCCCGAAAUCUUAGUGCAGCCCUCAGCAGGCUCAGGUGGAUGUCAGCACCCCACUGUGCAGAUUUACUCUUUCUCUUUUGCUUUUCUCAAUCAGAACUUACCGAAACUCAGCACGCAGCCCAUGGCAGCCAGCAGCAGUGGGGAAACUGAGGCACAGCGUGGCUGACAGCUCCGUGACCGGUGCUGAGCACUCAGCAGGGAUGGGUGCACCACCGGGGCUGACCUGCAAUCAAUCACAGUUCAUGUCCCUUCAGCAUCGCAGGGCUGGGUUAUUUCUGGCUCCUCGUGGCCUCAGAGCCCUCUCGGUGCUGGGACGUGCACAUGGCUGAAGUCAAAGGGCAACAUGGGCCUACAUGGCCUGGGAGUGGGACUCACAGCCCAAGGCCGUCGGGAUGUGCAGCGGGAUGGGAUCAGGGCUGACUUUCUGUUCUGGAACCCCCAGCCAUGCAUCCACCUUGCGAUGGGCAGUGUGAGUGCUGAGCUCCGGAUGGAAGAAGACAGCAGCAGCUGCCUGGACUGCACUCACAGAGCGGCUGCAUUUCUUCCCCCUGAGCCGUAAAUCGCGGGCUGGGGCCGGCGGCAUCCCUCUCGUGGUCGCCCCGGGAUGAGUUACGAGGAGAGAGCUCCGCAGCCAGGGCUUUGCUCCAGGGCCCUCCCAAGAGCCAUUCUCCUCCUUUUUCCACCCCAAACCACACUGCUGCCCCACUGGGGUCUCUCCAGCCCCACUGCAGGACCCCACGCUCCCGGCGCUCCUCCGCUCCCCGUCCUCCCGCGGCCGCGGCGAGCGGGCAGAUGUCUUGCUGACAGCUUCAGGAACACCUUGUAGCAGUUGCGGUGAUUCCUGAGAUCCAUUGCUUCCCAUUUCAAUUCACACAUCAUGAUUUCUAAACCUCAGCCCGCACCUUCCCUUCACAGCUCCCUACCUCCAGCCCGCCAGCACUGGGAGCGAUGGUGAUGGGGACACAGGGAAGGGGACCCGGUUCAUCCUUGCCUGACCACCACCUCCCGCCAUGCCAUGCCUUAGGGAGAGCCCCACACCCCGCCAAAAAAAUAGGCACAAUCAGCAAAAUGCGGGCUGGGAGGCACCUGGAGGGCAGUGAGGGGACGGUGCUCCUUUCUGGGGACCCAGGGCUGAGCCGCUGUGUUCCCCUAUGCUGUGUGGCUGUGGUAGAGGCUUGGCCUCGGGGUGAUAAAAGCGGCGUGUUUUUCCAAUUAGAAGAGCCAAAUGUCUUUUCCUGCCAGCAUUCAGCCCAGCCUAACAUGCGAUGUCUACAUCUUAACCUUGAAGAAGCCUCCAGAGACGCUGCUAAAUAAAUCAACGCGGCUCCACGUGCUGGAAAACAGAACCAAUAAAUAACUUCAGAACAGCUUUUCUGUUUACUGUAUGAAAUCCCCGCUCUUGGCCACCCUGUUCCAAAACAGCUCGGCAAAAUAAAGGCAAAAAGAAACACCAGCAGCACUGUAGGGCAGCAGCCACCAGCACAGGGCUGGCUGCAGGUGUGGGGCCCACUCCCCACUGACCUCUGGGAUUUGGGGCAGAGUGUGUCUGUGCAGUGUUUCAAAAGCAUUAAUGGAGGUAAUAACAAGAAUAAAAAACGCACCCUGCAAAACAGCCUCCUAGUGCUGUUCUCCUGUGGCAAGGAGGAUGCUGGAGUGAAACCCGCAGGGGAUGCUCACAAAGUCCUGUUUGGUCCCCAGGAGCCAUGGGAUGCAUUGGGGUGCUCAGCAGCAUCGCUGGCCCCGGUUGUGCCCCCACACGUGCCAGAUGCUGAAGGACAACCCCAGGCUGUUCAGAGCAGCAGCAGUUCCUCCUCUUUUACACCAAUAAUAAAUAUGCCUUUACCUUUAGCAUAAAAGAAGUUUGCAGCAGCUGCUAAAAGGGGACAUAUAAAGGCAUCUUCCUGCUUCCUGGGGCAGAGAGGUCUCAUGGAGGUGUUCAGUGUGGAUGGAUGCCUGGGGAGUCCUUCUGACAUCUCAGCAGAGGGAACAGCAGAACAGAGCCUGUUGGAGAGGAGCAUUAGCAGAAUUCAGCCAUGUAAGACAAAUCACUGCAACCCAAUGCAACAGGCAGGUCCAGCUCCCUUCGUACUGGAAGCCCCUGACCCAAAGCAAUCUGCUGUGUGGGGGCUGAGCUCCACAGCCCCCCUGGGCCAUGCACCGGUUGAAACCCCGUCCCCAGACCACGGUCACGGGGAGCUCAUCCUCUACAGUAGCCCAUCCCAGGGCCAUUGAAUGGGGAUUGAUUAUUUGUUGAUUUAUUUUACAUGGGAUCACCUUCCCUGGGCACCAGGAGAGCAGAAGCAUCCCAGAGCAAGGAGGGCAUGAUGGGUCAGGGUCACAAUCCUGCAACACACAGGUGAUGUACCCACAGCAUCGGAUGGGCACCACAGCUCCCACACGCUCAUCACUGCCCCAGUCACUGUCACCACUGUGUCCCCAUUGUGGCACAGGGACAAGGGCAGCCCCACAGUGCCAUGGGCUUUGUCACACACAGCAAAUAGCAAUGGGACAGGUUUAGCAACUGUGGGGCCUUCUGUUCUUCCUUACAUCUCGGAGCCAUUUCCUUAAAUGCUUUACAUUAUUUAUUAUGUUUCAUUUAACCCCAGCCACGUCCUCCAAAUAAAAUUUAUUUUGCAGCUGUCAUUCAGGUUUACUCCAGCCUUAACCUCAUAAUCCUAUUGAUUCCCUCAUUAUUCUCCGGGCGCGGGAUUGAUUUCAUGCCUUCUGUGUUAUGGAGAAGACUUUGCUCAUUAAUCUCACGCGCGUUUACGAAUGGCCAGUCCCAGUAAUUCAUUAUUUUCUCCUUCCCCACACAAACUCUGUUACCUUGUCCACUUCACAUCUUGAUUUUGGGGCAUGGACAGCAGUGAUUUCUCUCCUGUCUGGCUCCUUUCCGGAGGGAGCGGCGAUGGGCAGCCACCCUUGUGUCCUACAUCGCCAUUGGGUUUGGCCACAGGGACUGUACCCAGAUGGCAAUUGCAUACCUCCAACCCAACAUGUUGUUGGCACAGCAGUCCAUUGGUGUGGUGUUCCAUACAGCCCCAUCGGUACUGGAUGUGGAGGAAGACAUGACCCCUGUCGUGGAGGCUUAGAGUAAAAAAUAGGCAGACACCGUGGGGCAGACACGUCAUAAAUCCAAGCGGAGGGGCCAAUCUCAAAUAUUUCAGCUCUUUCCCUCCUCCCCCCUAUAAUAUAUAAUUGUCUUUGUUGGAUCAAUACAGAGGGGCUUUGUGGAAGGAGGGCGCUUUAAGGGAAGAUUAAUGUCGUGCAUUAUGUAUGCAGCUAGGAGGAAUUCCAAUAUCCAGCUUCCAGGAGGAAAGGAAAGGCCAGAGAGAUGGGAUCCUCCUUCCAGGAUGGGAGCACGGCACAGCCCACGCCAGAGUUAGGGGUGGGAGAUUCUUGUAGGUUUGGACCCCUCACACCUACCUGUGCAAGGCAGCAUCCCACCCUCAAGGUGCAGAACGAACAUCAUUUAUCCACAGCAGUCCAUCAGCAUUGUCCUGGGUACACACACACAUAAGCAUCAUCAGCAAAUGAACACCUGGUCUGAAGGCAACAGCCCUGGGCUGAGCCCUCCGCUCAACAGCAGCGCCAAUGGUGGCUUCCUUGAGUUGAGCAUCCCGCAACCCACAGCCAUCAUAUGGAAUACAUUUAACCAAACCGAGUUUUGAUUAAACACCAUAAAUAUGAUUGAUUUGGUUACAUACCCUCCACAUGACAGUCCGUUUAAUUUAUUUUUUCAUUCUGAGUAGGGAUGUUGCAUUGAUCCGAAACAUUGGCUUUGACUACCACCGUAAAUUCCCAUUCUUGGAGACCCGCUGCGGCAUUAUUAAUACUUUUACACUUACCAGCAGUGGUUGGAGGUCAAC
ensembl:lncRNA